AGUAUCACGUGAGAAACCUGCCCCGAAAACCGGGAUAGCCCGGGGAAACCCGGAUUAAUACCGGAUAUUCUCUACAGAUCGCAUGGUCUGCUGAGGAAAUGCCUUUGUGCUUCGGGAUGGUCUCGCGACCUAUCAGCUAGUUGGUGAGGUAAUGGCUCACCAAGGCAACGACGGGUAGCUGGUCUGAGAGGACGAUCAGCCACACUGGGACUGAGACACGGCCCAG
rnacentral:rRNA from 1 species